rnacentral:lncRNA from 1 species
UCGUAGAUCAAAGUGCAGUGAGUAAUAUGCGGAAGUAACAUCUGGUAGAGAAAGUAAAAUUCCAUUGGCACUUCUUCAAACUCCUCGAAGUCAGCGGAAAAUGUCGACACCUGUAGUGGUAAUAACUUUGGUAAACAUCACUUAUUUUUGGAAUUCAUUAUGAUAUUGUGCGAAAAUUUCAAAUCGGAAUCACUGCUUCCCAAGUUACUUUCUUUUGAGACCCGGAGAUCUGGUAACGUAGCUCAAAGCAUUCCUGCAAGCAUCAAAUGUGCCACUUGAAUAAAUGCAUCAUAUGGGCAGCAGUUUCCUGUCAGUCACAAUUCACUUGUUUGCUAUAAAAAUAAAGGGUGCUUUAUUUACCUUCA